rnacentral:rRNA from 1 species
GGCAGCAUGGUCUUAGCUUGCUAAGGCCGAUGGCGACCGGCGCACGGGUGAGUAACACGUAUCCAACCUGCCGUCUACUCUUGGACAGCCUUCUGAAAGGAAGAUUAAUACAAGAUGGCAUCAUGAGUCCGCAUGUUCACAUGAUUAAAGGUAUUCCGGUAGACGAUGGGGAUGCGUUCCAUUAGAUAGUAGGCGGGGUAACGGCCCACCUAGUCUUCGAUGGAUAGGGGUUCUGAGAGGAAGGUCCCCCACAUUGGAACUGAGACACGGUCCAAACUCCUACGGGAGGCAGCAGUGAGGAAUAUUGGUCAAUGGGCGAGAGCCUGAACCAGCCAAGUAGCGUGAAGGAUGACUGCCCUAUGGGUUGUAAACUUCUUUUAUAAAGGAAUAAAGUCGGGUAUGGAUACCCGUUUGCAUGUACUUUAUGAAUAAGGAUCGGCUAACUCCGUGCCAGCAGCCGCGGUAAUACGGAGGAUCCGAGCGUUAUCCGGAUUUAUUGGGUUUAAAGGGAGCGUAGAUGGAUGUUUAAGUCAGUUGUGAAAGUUUGCGGCUCAACCGUAAAAUUGCAGUUGAUACUGGAUAUCUUGAGUGCAGUUGAGGCAGGCGGAAUUCGUGGUGUAGCGGUGAAAUGCUUAGAUAUCACGAAGAACUCCGAUUGCGAAGGCAGCCUGCUAAGCUGCAACUGA